UGUUACAGCACCUUACAGUUUAUUUGUCCUUUUUAUAAAGCACAUUUUUUCUUCGAACCCGUCAAAAUGUUUAAUUUCAUGCUAUUUUCUGCCUUUUUUUUUUUUUAGUUCAUCGAGAAGAAAAAUAUAUGAUAAUUUAAUCCUCUUUUGGUUUUUUGUUCCAGUCAAGAAUCACGAGGUGGAUCUUUCCCACCGAUUGAAAACUGCAGCCCAUGAAAUAGGCUUGGAAAACUGUUCUAACUUCUUUUUCUACUCAAAAAAAAAUCUUUUUGUAUUCGUUGAGUAUAUAUGAAACCAUACCUCGAAAUUCAAUAACUUGAUUUCUUUCUUUCUCUUUAAAAAAAAAGAUAGCAAAAAGAUGCUGCUUUGGAACAUUCUAAUUCAGGACAAUCCCUUAAUUUAUUGCUUCAAGAUGAGAAUCUUAAUUUCUCAUUUGUCUAAAUACCGCUAUAUCCUGGUAUAACGCGUUAACGAUAUUGUACAGAUCGGUAUGUACAUUGACGUUUAAUGGGGGAAAAAAUUGCAGGAACAACAGUAACGAGAGCCGUGGCAACUGUGACGUGGAAACAACGAUACACGCACAACGUGGACAAAUUAUGUAAAGUUAAAAAAAUACAGGAUCGGGGCUAACGAAAAGAAACAAAGGGCAACGACAAUUAUUCCGAGUGAGAUGCGGCUUUGUUCUUGAAACGGCGAUGGCAGAGAUAAAAGGGAAGAAAACCGUCAUUUAAUGUGUACGCGACGAGGGAUCAUCCGGCAACGUGAAACAAUACCAAAGUGUGUUAAAAUACGCGUGCAACCGGUGCGUGAAUAAUCGGCAGAUUGCCAGAGAUGCUUGGCCACUACUCACGUUUUUGAUCUUCCACUUCAAGAAGGGUGGGAAAACGAUCGCACAGAACACAACUCCAAAGGCGAACAGAGAGCCACCGAUGAUUCCCAGUUU